UCGCAUCCUGGGGCUGGAGAAGGUCCCAAGGGUUUGGCUGUUCGCCAAUUAAAGCGGUACGUGAGCUGGGUUUAGAACGUCGUGAGACAGUUCGGUCCCUAUCUGCCGUGGUCGUAGGAGAAUUGAGAGGAUCUGUCCCUAGUACGAGAGGACCGGGAUGGACGUACCUCUGGUGGACCUGUUGUCGCGCCAGCGGCAUAGCAGGGUAGCUAUGUACGGAACGGAUAACCGCUGAAAGCAUCUAAGCGGGAAACCAGCCUCGAGAUAAGUUCUCCCUUGAGAGCCGUGGAAGACCCCCACGUUGAUAGGCCGGGUGUGGAAGUGUGGCGACACAUGAAGCUUACCGGUACUAAUUGCUCGAUUGGCUUGAUUGCUCUCAUUU
rnacentral:rRNA from 1 species